AACGAACGCUGGCGGCAUGCCUAACACAUGCAAGUCGAACGAAACCUUCGGGUCUAGUGGCGCACGGGUGCGUAACGCGUGGGAACCUGCCCUUAGGUUCGGAAUAACUCCCCGAAAGGGGUGCUAAUACCGGAUAAUGUCUUCGGACGAAAGAUUUAUCGCCUUUGGAUGGGCCCGCGUUGGAUUAGCUAGUUGGUAGGGUAAAAGCCUACCAAGGCGACGAUCCAUAGCUGGUCUGAGAGGAUGAUCAGCCACACUGGGACUGAGACACGGCCCAGACUCCUACGGGAGGCAGCAGUGGGGAAUAUUGCACAAUGGGCGAAAGCCUGACGCAGCAAUGCCGCGUGAGUGAUGAAGGUCUUAGGGUUGUAAAGCUCUUUUACCCGGGAUGAUAAUGACGGUACCGGGAGAAUAAGCUCCGGCUAACUCCGUG
rnacentral:rRNA from 1 species